rnacentral:misc_RNA from 1 species
UAUAAACUAUCACGACGCCCAAAAAGUCGUGGCUUGGGUCUUGCCAGCUGGCAUGAUUUCCCCACGCAUUUGUGUGGGGUGCCGGAUCUAUGGCUUUUCCCCAAUGUGCCGGACGCAACCAUGUCUGGGCUGACUGCCUGGAUGAGGGGGUGGCGGCGGAGUCGUGGCUCAAUUGUUGUUGUUAUUGUUGUGAAUGUGCGCGCUCCGUUGUUGGUCCUUUGUCUUUGGUUGAGGCUCCAGUGKUGGCAAUGCAUU